UACAGAGGGUGCGAGCGUUGUCCGGAGUUACUGGGCGUAAAGCGCGCGCAGGCGGCUCGUCAAGUCUGGCGUGAAAGCCCCCGGCUCAACCGGGGAGGGUCGUCGGAGACUGGCGAGCUUGAGGGCGGUAGGGGCUGGUGGAAUUCCCGGUGUAGUGGUGAAAUGCGUAGAGAUCGGGAGGAACACCCGUGGCGAAGGCGGCCAGCUGGGCCGUCCCUGACGCUGAGGCGCGAAGGCGUGGGGAGCGAACGGG
rnacentral:rRNA from 1 species